GGGACACGUGGUAUCCUGUCUGAAUAUGGGGGGACCAUCCUCCAAGGCUAAAUACUCCUGACUGACCGAUAGUGAACCAGUACCGUGAGGGAAAGGCGAAAAGAACCCCGGCGAGGGGAGUGAAAAAGAACCUGAAACCGUGUACGUACAAGCAGUGGGAGCACCUUCGGGUGUGACUGCGUACCUUUUGUAUAAUGGGUCAGCGACUUAUAUUCUGUAGCAAGGUUAACCGUAUAGGGGAGCCGCAGGGAAACCGAGUCUUAACUGG
rnacentral:rRNA from 1 species